rnacentral:rRNA from 1 species
AUGGAGGAUCAUCCUGGCCAUCCUAUUUCCAACUAUGAUUUCUUGUCAGGGAAUGGUUGUCAUACGAAGAAAUUAGUUCAUAAGAACUACGACCAGGACUCCUCAUCAGCCAAGUCUGGCCGGUCACAACAAGAAGCAUCUGCAACGAGUGACAGUAAUCUAAAUGAGCAACACACCUCAAGACCCCCAUCACAAUCUGACAAUGACAAUGAUCAUGGGAAGCCCGACCAGCACAUGAUAAAGCCGCUUUUAUCUUUGGGGAACCCAGAGACUGUUGCUCCCCCGCCAAUGAUUGAUUGUAGCCAAUCAUUUGCAUAUGUUCCUUAUGCUGCUGAUGCUUAUGCUGGGAUCUUUCCAGGAUAUGCCUCACACGCUAUUGUUCAUCCCCAAUUAAAUGCUGCAACAAACUCUCGUGUGCCGCUCCCUAUUGAGCCUGCAGCAGAAGAGCCAAUGUUUGUUAAUGCAAAGCAAUAUCAUGCAAUUCUUAGGAGGAGGCAGAUACGUGCUAAAUUGGAGGCCCAAAAUAAGCUCGUGAAAGCCCGGAAGAUUUCAGCUACAGAUUUAUUCGGCUGCCUUGGUAAUAUUCAGAGGACUAAUCUGAUCCGUGAGUACAUUUUUGUACUAAUGAUGAAAACCUCUGGCAGAGGCAUAUUCCUACCAUACCUUCAUGAAUCUCGGCACCGCCAUGCCAUGAAGCGAGCUCGUGGAACAGGAGGGCGGUUCCUCAACACAAAGCAACUCGAGGAGCAGAAGCAGGUUUCAGGUGGUGCAAGCUGUACAAAGGUCCAUGGCAAGAAUACACUCCUUCAGGGUAGCCCGGCCUUCGCACCUUCGGCAUCAGCUCCCUCCAACAUGUCAAGCUUUUCAACAACCGGCAUGCUGGCUAAUCAGGAGCGCACCUGCUUCCCCUUGGUUGGCUUCCGUCCCACGGUUAGCUUCAGUGCACUGAAUGGCAACGGGAAGCUGGCCCCGAACGGCAUGCACCAGCGCGCUUCCAUGAUGAGGUAA